ACUCCUACGGGAGGCAGCAGUGGGGAAUAUUGCACAAUGGGCGCAAGCCUGAUGCAGCCAUGCCGCGUGUAUGAAGAAGGCCUUCGGGUUGUAAAGUACUUUCAGCGGGGAGGAAGGCGAUAAGGUUAAUAACCUUGUCGAUUGACGUUACCCGCAGAAGAAGCACCGGCUAACUCCGUGCCAGCAGCCGCGGUAAUACGGAGGGUGCAAGCGUUAAUCGGAAUUACUGGGCGUAAAGCGCACGCAGGCGGUCUGUCAAGUCGGAUGUGAAAUCCCCGGGCUCAACCUGGGAACUGCAUUCGAAACUGGCAGGCUAGAGUCUUGUAGAGGGGGGUAGAAUUCCAGGUGUAGCGGUGAAAUGCGUAGAGAUCUGGAGGAAUACCGGUGGCGAAGGCGGCCCCCUGGACAAAGACUGACGCUCAGGUGCGAAAGCGUGGGGAGCAAACAGGAUUAGAUACCCUUGUAGUCCCAUG
rnacentral:rRNA from 1 species